UGGUUCUGGCAUCGAUGAAGAACGCAGCGAAAUGCGAUAAGUAAUGCGAAUUGCAGAAUUCCGUGAGUCAUCGAAUCUUUGAACGCAUAUUGCGCCCUCUGGUAUUCCAGGGGGCAUGCCUGUCCGAGCGUCAUUACGUCUCUCAAGCACGGCUUGUAGUUAGGUCUAACCGUGGUCUCCGGGCCGGGUGGGUCUCAAAGAUAACGAUGGUGCCUGGGGGGGUCCAAACGCAACGAGCUUGAUCGCACGCGCUUGGGCGCCUCGGGGCCCGUCUUCCACCAUUUCUAAGGUUGACCUCGGAUCAGGUAGGGAUACCCGCUGA
rnacentral:misc_RNA from 1 species